AACGUAGGUGGCAAGCGUUGUCCGGAAUUACUGGGUGUAAAGGGAGCGCAGGCGGGAUGGCAAGUUGAAUGUGAAAACUAUGGGCUCAACCCAUAGACUGCGUUCAAAACUGCUGUUCUUGAGUGAUGGAGAGGCAGGCGGAAUUCCCGGUGUAGCGGUGGAAUGCGUAGAUAUCGGGAGGAACACCAGUGGCGAAGGCGGCCUGCUGGACAUUAACUGACGCUGAGGCUCGAAAGUGUGGGGAGCAAACAGG
rnacentral:rRNA from 1 species